GGCGUCCGAGUUGUAAUUUGUAGAGGAUGCUAUUGGGUUGCCACCGGUCUAAGUUCCUUGGAACAGGACGUCACAGAGGGUGAGAAUCCCGUAUGUGACCGGCCAGGCGCCUUCUGUAUAGCUCCUUCGACGAGUCGGGUUGUUUGGGAAUGCAGCCCUAAAUGGGAGGUAAAUUUCUUCUAAAGCUAAAUACCGGCCAGAGACCGAUAGCGCACAAGUAGAGUGAUCGAAAGAUGAAAAGCACUUUGGAAAGAGAGUUAAAAAGCACGUGAAAUUGUUGAAAGGGAAGCGCUUGCAAUCAGUCUCGACGGCGGCUGUUCGGCCUCUCUUCUGAGUGGUUUAUUCAGUCGCCGCCGGGCCAGCAUCAGUCUUGGCGGCCGGAUAAAGGCGUGGGGAAUGUAGCUCCUCCGGGAGUGUUAUAGCCCCGCGUGCAAUACGGCCCGCCGGGACUGAGGUCCGCGCUUCGGCUAGGAUGCUGGCGAAAUGGCUGUAAGCGGCCCGUCUUGAAACACGGACCAAGGAGUCUAACAUCUACGCGAGUGUUUGGGUGUCAAACCCGUGCGCGCAAUGAAAGUGAACGGAGGUGGGAACCGCAAGGUGCACCAUCGACCGAUCCUGAUGUCUUCGGAUGGAUUUGAGUAAGAGCGUAGCUGUUGGGACCCGAAAGAUGGUGAACUAUGCCUGAAUAGGGUGAAGCCAGAGGAAACUCUGGUGGAGGCUCGCAGCGGUUCUGACG
rnacentral:rRNA from 2 species